AGCAGCCGCGGUAAUUCCAGCUCCAAUAGCGUAUAUUAAAGUUGUUGCAGUUAAAAAGCUCGUAGUUGAAUUUCGGGAUCAGUUGAUCGGUCGUGCCUCGGUACGUACUGGUCAAAUUGAUUCCUACCUUCUGACGAACCACGAUGUCAUUAAUUUGGUGUCGCGGGAAAUCAGGACUGUUACUUUGAAAAAAUUAGAGUGUUUAAAGCAGGCUCGCGCUUGAAUACAUUAGCAUGGAAUAAUGAAAUAGGACGUUUGAUUCUAUUUUGUUGGUUUCUAGGAUCGACGUAAUGAUUAAUAGGGAUAGUUGGGGGCAUUAGUAUUCAAUUGUCAGAGGUGAAAUUCUUGGAUUUAUUGAAGACUAACUACUGCGAAAGCAUUUGCCAAGGAUGUUUUCAUUAGUCAAGAACGAAAGUUAGGGGAUCGAAGACGAUCAGAUACCGUCGUAGUCUUAACCAUAAACUAUGCCGACUAGGGAUCGGAUGAUGUUAAUUUUUUCAAUGACUCAUUCGGCGCCUUA
rnacentral:misc_RNA from 1 species